rnacentral:lncRNA from 1 species
AACCUUUUGAAGAAAAUUAACCAAAAUCUUGGUUAAUAUUUUUCACUGUUAUUAAACUGAUUUGCUUGGGCCGUGUGUGUGUGUAUCUGUGUGUAUAAAACUUUGUUAGCAAUAAUAGAAAUAAAUUGUUUUAAGAAUUAUUUGGAGGCCUAGGACAACAUUAACUUCUUUCAGAGGAGAUUUGCAUUUACUUCUGCCAGGCACCUCUCAGAGACCCUAGCAGUCUGUGGUCUCCUACCCCAAUUUCAGAGACUGAGA